CCUUGAAACUGGAUACAAGUGUCUAGUACCCGUAAAAAGAAGCUGAGCAAGUCAAAUCUUCUAUUUUAAGUGAAGGAUUCUUACAGAUUUCUUGGAUAUAUUGAAAGACUGCAUCAGAAUUCAGCUUGUGUCUGUGCCAGCAACUGUGCAGAUUCAUGGCAGCAUCCAUACCGUAGUACUGCCUGUGCACUGAGGCAUGCAGCUUCUUGGUCUCCCUCUGGAUACUGAGGAGAUCGAGCUGUUUUUCAUCCAUUUCCCUUCUUUCAUGUGUCUGACUUGAACCAUUUUGAGUUUGUCGAUCAUCAGAGAAGGCUCCCUGUGGUGUGCUAGCCCUGAUCUCCCUUCAUACUCAAAGGAAGGCAGAGGUUGUAAUGAUGAACAAUUCCCUGGGGUGGUUGCACGAGGGCUGGAGGUUACAGUGCAGGCUCAGCCACAACCUGUUCGUAAUCCUUCCUGUGUGAUGCAGGGGAACCUCUUUGAAGAGAGAAGAGAGAUGGAGAUUUAGGAGAAAAAAGUUCCUGUGAAGUAUUUGCCUGUGCCAGCUUCUGCCUAGUAAGGUAUGCAGGAAAAUCUAUAGCUUUAAUGAUAUCAGAAUUUUGCUUUUAUUCUAACUGAUGAUAACCUGAUAUGAAAUCUUAUCAUGCAGACAUAUGACUAAAUAGCUAUAGAUAAAAGCACAUUUCAACAUUUUGAAAGUAAGAAUGAGUCUUUUGAUUUGACUUUAAAGAAAUCAAUUAAAAGUGCAAAAAAUGGAGUGUUAACUCUAAAAUGGCAAAAGAAAAACUGAAGCGUUAAAGAUCCAAGUUUCUGAUAUAUAAAAAAUUCACACUUGCUUAAUUUUGCAAUAUAAUAGCAACACAAUUUAAAUUAAGGCAUUUUGAUAAGUAUAACCUGAGGUUAUGUUGAAAUGGAUUUUAAAAUGAGUUGGCUUCCUGUUGUAAUCUUGUUUGAUGUCAUUAAACAUUAUUGUUUAUGUUGAUUAACAUCAAUUAAAUAUUGAUGUGAGAUGGAGGAGUGUUUUCUUUGGAUGUUAUCUCUACUGGUACACUCACUGGUCAAGUAGGAAGUAGCAGAGUUUGAGAAUGUCUUUUGAAAAGACUGCAGAAGCAAUGAAGCCUGGCCCAUAGCUCUUUCACACUUUGCAUUUCUAAAAACAUGUUUUCC
rnacentral:lncRNA from 1 species